UGGAGCAUGUGUUAAUUCGAAGCAACGCGAAGAACCUUACCAGGCCUUGACAUGCAGAGAACUUUCCAGAGAUGGAUUGGUGCCUUCGGGAACUCUGACACAGGUGCUGCAUGGCUGUCGCCAGCUCGUGUCGUGAGAUGUUGGGUUAAGUCCGUAACGAGCGCAACCCUUGUCCUUAGUUACCAGCACGUUAUGGUGGGCACUCUAAGGAGACUGCCGGUGACAACCGAGGAAGGUGGGGAUGACGUCAAGUCAUCAUGGCCCUUACGGCCUGGGCUACACACGUGCUACAAUGGUCGGUACAAAGGGUUGCCAAGCCGCGAGGUGGAGCUAAUCCCAUAAAACCGAUCGUAGUCCGGAUCGCAGUCUGCAACUCGACUGCGUGAAGUCGGAAUCGCUAGUAAUCGUGAAUCAGAAUGUCACGGUGAAUACGUUCCCGGGCCUU
rnacentral:rRNA from 1 species